AUGCCACUUGCAAGUCGACUACUCGACUUUGCAACCGGGUUCCUUGUUUCAUGCCAAUUGCAAGUGGACCCUCGACUUGCAACUGGGUCUUCUGUUUUCAUACCACUUGCAAGUGGAGACUUGACUUGCAACUGUGUCUUUUUGUUUGAUGCCACUUGCAAGUGGAUCCUCGACUUGCAACUCUGUCUUCUAUUUUUUUUGACGACACUUGUAAGUGGACUCUCGACUUGCAACCGGGUUCCUUUGUUUUUCAUGCCACUUGCAAGUGGACCCUCGACUUGCAACUGUGUCUUCUAUUUUUUUAUGCCACUUGCAAGUGGACCUCGACUUGCAACGAGGUCUUAUUCUUUUGAUGACACUUGCAAGUGGCCCCUCGACUUGCAACCGGGUUCCUUUGUUUUUCAUGCCACUUGCAAGUGGACCCUUGACUUGCAAUUGAGUCUUCUGUUUUCGUACCACUUGCAAGUGGACCCUCGACUUGCAACUGGGUCUUUUUGUUUGAUGCCACUUGCAAGUGGACCCUCGACUUGCAACCGGGUUCCUUUGUUUUUGUCAUCAUGCAUUUCGCCCAUUCUGAUAAAUUCCCCUCUCAACAAUGCAAAAGACAGUCAUUUUUCAGACUUUAUUGCCUGA
rnacentral:rRNA from 1 species